AACGAACGCUGGCGGCAUGCCUAACACAUGCAAGUCGAACGAGACCUUCGGGUCUAGUGGCGCACGGGUGCGUAACGCGUGGGAACCUGCCCUUAGGUUCGGAAUAACUCCCCGAAAGGGGUGCUAAUACCGGAUAAUGUCUUCGGACCAAGGAUUUAUCGCCUUUGGAUGGGCCCGCGUUGGAUUAGCUAGUUGGUAGGGUAAAAGCCUACCAAGGCGACGAUCCAUAGCUGGUCUGAGAGGAUGAUCAGCCAGACUGGGACUGAGACACGGCCCAGACUCCUACGGGAGGCAGCGGUGGGGAAUAUAGGACAAUGGGCGAAAGCCUGAUCCAGCAAUGCCGCGUGAGUGAUGAAGGCCUUAGGGUUGUAAAGCUCUUUUACCCGGGAUGAUAAUGACAGUACCGGGAGAAUAAGCUCCGGCUAACUCCGUG
rnacentral:rRNA from 1 species